rnacentral:antisense_RNA from 1 species
GAGAGAGGGUGCGCAGACGGCCAGCGCGGCCGUGCCAGGGACAUACUGGAGACAGGAAGUGGCUGAGAGGGGGAGAGAGAGUUAGAGAGAGACGGCCACGGAGGACACGGGGACGGGAAAGUCUGAGAGACGGGGAGAGCCUGACCCGGCGGGACACAGGCAAAAAGAAACACGCGAGCCAGGCAGACGCAGCAGAAACGUGCCUGGUACUGGAUAGGAACUUCAUGGAAUGGAGCUAAUGGGCCGUAGGGCAGGUUUGAGUCUUGCCACCCUGGAGCGGAAGGUGGAGAGUAGGGAUAAGGGGGUGGAGCACCUGAUUCCAAUCUUGCCGCAGGGAAGAAGAGUCUGUGAAGAAGGUGGAGAGAAACUAGGAGAAAGCACAGGAUGUAGAGGUCUAUUCGGCAUAAUCUUCUCCCUCAUUUUCAUCUUCACCAUCAACAGAGAGAGCAGCAUACUUGCUUGCAGAACUGAACUUCUGUAAUACAACAAGAGUGACAGGAUAAUGAAGGCCCUGAAUUAUCACAUCAAAACCCAAGACACAGGAUACUGAUCCUUUGGCAAUGGGGGAUGACAGUCAGAUGACACCCACUUGCUUGCUCAUCAGCAUUGUCCACUGGAGAGGAGCUAGGGAAGAGGGUCAGAGGCACAUGUGAUCUUACUGUAGUCUCAUACCACCUCUACACCUUGCAGAAGGGAUGAGAACAAAGGAAGGCAGAAACUAGGAAAAAGCUAAACUUCUUUCGCUAUUUCAGACAAAGACCAAUGUCUUAUUUCCAAACACUUUGUAUUCCAAAUGGAAAGAAGUCCAACGGCAAAAAGUAUUCUAAGAAAAAUUGGGAGCAGCCUUCAACACUUACGGAAGCUGGAUUUUCCUCAGGUUUCUUUGGCUCAGGUGCAGAUCUGGAGUCUUGAUCCUUUUUGCCAUCUUUCCUGCAAAGACGUAAGCAUAAAACCAUGUCUUUAGGAAAGGACUCGCCUAAUACAAACAUGUGCAUGCACGCAGUUUCAAGGCACUGAACAGGCACCUCUCUAGUCAACAGUCCUUGUUGUCUGGAUGAUGUAUUACUUCUAGAUUUUCAGAAUCUUAACUGUCUACAUUGGCUGACUUUAGUUUGCUCACAAUGACAGAUCUGGCAGCGCUUUGAGAACCAAGAACUUAAUUUCUUAAUUACACAAACAUGUGGAUCAGAGGAAAGAUGAUAAUGAGAAAGAACAAGCAUACCUAUCUGACUCCUUCCAGUGGUCUUUGUUCCCUCCGUCUCCUGGACCACGGCUAGAGUUCCCAGUUUGGCCUUUUGGGACAUUCAUCCCAUCUACUUUAUUUUCAUCUGCUUGGGCAGUAAUGUAAACAAAUUAAAGGCAAGUAAAAGUAUCAAUGUCCCUCUCCUAAGAUUUCCCUUAAGCUGAAGAAAACUGUGCCCACAUGUACUGAGGGAAACUAACCCCACCCCAACCGACUUCCUUCCUGAAGCCCUUCUUUUUCCACACCCUCUACAGCACACAAAAAUACAAAAAACAAACAAAAUCCACUAAAAAGUUCCAUGUAGGGAUAUGCCAUCAUGAAAAGCAAGCUGGAAAUAAAGACUAUGACGCUCUGUA